rnacentral:tRNA from 1 species
GGGGGUGUGGCGCAGUGGUAGCGCGCCCGCUUUGCAUGAUGAAAUCUUCAUUAUCUCGACAAUGCGGAAGGUCAUGAGUUCGAUCCUUAUCUCCUCCA